GCAGUCUCGCACAUCCCCCUCCUCGACUCCUCUCCCCGACCUCUCUCCUCUUUCUCCUAAUCUAGGCGGCUGGGUGUAUCCUUCCCGGCAGGGCCGCCGACCACGAUAUCGACCUUGACCAGCGGCCCCCCUCCCUCUUUCUCGAUCUCUAGCGGCAGCGCGCAUAGCAAAACAGCGGCAUCCUCUCUGUUGAUUUCCAUACCACGACGGUGUGCUCGGAGCCGUCCUUUAAGGUGGAACGCAACCACCGCCGUCGUCCAGCCCUCAAGGAAGACCCUAUGCCGCCGCCACUGGCCUUAUGGCUCUGGAGCCCCUCGCUGGUGCACAAGCAGGACAAACAUGCCAUAAGCAUAAGGGAUUUGGGGGACUUGGGGCACUUAUCUGCAGGUCAUGAUACCCUCUCCUCUGGAUGUUGAUGUCAAACCCUCCACCAAGUUUUCUUGUGUAGAAGCAACCAACUAGAAAAGGCAGGAAGGGUGUCUUAAUGUUCAUGUUUUGGUGCUGCAUACAAGAAGUUGCCUGCUCUGAGUUUUAUUUCAUGAAGCAUACUUCAAUCUUUGAUACAAGUGGAAGAUGGUGUUAUCGUCAGCCAGUAUUGGUUGUUGCUGCAGGAUUACAUUAACUAUUUUUUGCCAAGAUUGUUGUGUCAUCCGAGCAUUUUUCUCUGUACGGGUAUUCCUCUUGAAAUCUCCCAAAUAAAAUUCCUUCAAGUUUCUUUCAUAGAUUCAUAUAUUAUUAUUGCUAAACUUAUAUCAUGGAAAAGUUUAUAUUCAUCAUAUUGUUUGUAGAAUUCUCACAGCUCUAUGUGUUUGACUGUUUGUCCUUUUUGUUACAUCCCAUUAGGCAUGAAAUAAGUUCCAUUGUUUUUUACUUCAGAACUGUCUUGCCUUGUUGUAUCUGUGUGUCGCUAGACCUCCUCUCCCACUAUGCAUGUGUGUUGCUUUGGGAAUCAUUGCAAAAGAGAUUACAAUGUAAUUUUGCUAGAUUUUUUAAUGACUUCACUUUGUUUGAAUGUGGGACCUAAUAGGCGACACAUGUAAUAGUAUUUUGACUUAUCCACUUUUAGUGUAGGAGGCCUAAGCGAGCUCGGAGAAAACUUUUGAGCAAUCUACAUGACAGAUCAUAAAUCGGUUACAUGUAUAAUUUUUGAUGUUAUAGAUCUGAAAGCAAUCAGCUUUUAUAUAUUGUUACUCUAAAUCUCUAGGUAUCUAUUACUUUAUUUAAUUCUAAUUUCUACUUCAAUGAUUCCUUGCAUGUUAUAAAUCAGAAAUCUUCUAUGUGUACCAUAUAUUGAGUUUCAGAUGGAUGCUAAGACGAUAGCACUGGAGCACCAACUUAGUUCCAGUGUAUGUACAUGAUUCUGUAGUCCCUCGGCCGGAAACAUUUAGUACUUGCCUUUUUUGUAUUUUCUAAUUUUUUUAUUUCCUUAUUCUACAGAUGGCUGAUUAAGUGCCUGAAAGAAAACCAAUUGCGAUAUAUACUGGAGUUAGCAAAAAAUCAAGAACAAUAUACUAGAAAUAUAUACUAGAGUGUAUGAACAUCUUAAAUCUGUUGCAAUAUAUGUCAGCAUCCAAAUUUUAUUUUUGCACAUCCCGUAGAAUAUCUUUCUCUAAAUCGGCCCAUUUUCAAUUAUGAGCAGCAAUAGUACUACAUCAACAUUAUAACUUAGGUACGAUUGUUUUUGCUUUCUAAUUCAUGAGUGUCUCUGCUAUUAGUGGAGUACAGACUCAGUAUCUAAUUUUUAACAUGUGAUGCCAUGGAAACUAUGUGGUGAACAUGACUGAACAUUAUAAACUUGCCUCAAGAACACAAAAGUCCAUUCCACUUAUUCGCUGGUCCUCAUAAAUACUCAUGUUGCUUAUUACAGUUCUGAGGUAUGCCAAAAAAUUAAGACGGGUUUAAGUGUAUUUCUUUAGAAUCUCUAACCCUUAGUAUUAAAAUUUCAAGAGAUAAAACAAUCCUAAUAAUAGCUCUAGCCAGGUUUAAUUUAGGACAUUAUUUUUGGUUGUUGAACAGGGUUUCACUGCCCUGUCAGUGAUAGUUCAAACUUGAGAUAGCUCUGUACCAGAUGAAAAGAAGUAACACAACAAGCAAGGGUGCCAAUGAGGCUAUAGACUCUUAUUGCUCAGACUUAUUCAACAGAAUUGCAGAAAGUUUGGUUGUUGCCAGAUGAAGUUGUUGAAGAGGAUUCAAGUUUCAUUUAAAUAAAAAAAUUGAUCGACUCUUUGCUGUAAUUAAUUUCAGUACAAAUGCAUAACAAGUAAUCAUAAUCUAACUUGAGCAGCUCAAGGAUACACUGGUUUCAUUCUAGGUGUGCUGGCAUAUUACGCAUCUUCGCAUUUAUUCCAGUUCACUUUGGUUCUAAUACUCUUUGUCUUUUUUCUUACACAGAUGUUACUUGCUAUAUCAGUUAUGUUGUCACGCGACGAUGUGGUUGCUGAUUGGAUGACAUUUCAGUUUGGAUCUUAUUUAAUUCAUGCAAGUGUAGCAACACCCUUUUCCAUGCUGUUUUUUUGUAAGACUUUUCAUUAUUGAAUGGGAUUGCCGAUCUAUCACUUUCCUACAGCCUGGUUUCUCUUCAAAACUGAAUUACUAUAUGAUUAGUACAUAUUUGUAAUUCUGUAUUAUGUAGGAUAUUGUUAUUUGAUAUUCUAUAGCUAAUUAUCCUUGUUAGCACUCUUAUCACUUGAAUGUGAUGAACUCCAUGAGAAAUAGCCAGGUGCAUUAGGCUCACCUAAGUCUUCUUUGUUUCCGAACAUGGUGGCCCUUUAGUACAGGUUUGAAGAUUCGGGUAAUGCACCAUGUAAACAAUCUACUUAUUGGUCUGAAUAUUUUUAUUUUAGGAGUA